UUUUGUUAUUCCAGGUUUAGUUUGUUACUCGUGCCCUUUCAACACCCCGAUCAAUAAAUGUCGUUCUUUCAACAAUCCAUAUGUUCCUACCAUUCCAAAUGUGACCUGUGACCAUAUAAAGACAACUGCUGAUGGUAAAGCACUCUGUAAAAAAUAUCCCGGUAAAGGCUAUAUUUUGAUAUGUACUAGUGGACCAGGAUCAGAAAUGACUUGUGAAAAUAACUGUGGAAAUAGCGGAGUCAGUCAUCUAUAUGAUCCCAAUAAGCUUACACUCAGCAUAAUGUUGUUCAUAUCUUCAGCAGUUGUAACGAGAUAUGUUGAUUAAAUGAAAAAGAUGGCAUCGUUA